rnacentral:rRNA from 1 species
AGCGGACAGAUGGGAGCUUGCUCCCUGAUGUUAGCGGCGGACGGGUGAGUAACACGUGGGUAACCUGCCUGUAAGACUGGGAUAACUCCGGGAAACCGGGGCUAAUACCGGAUGGUUGUUUGAACCGCAGGUUCAAACAUAAAAGGUGGCUUCGGCUACCACUUACAGAUGGACCCGCGGCGCAUAGCUAGUUGGUGAGGUAACGGCUCACCAAGGCGACGAUGCGUAGCCGACCUGAGAGGGUGAUCGGCCACACUGGGACUGAGACACGGCCCAGACUCCUACGGGAGGCAGCAGUAGGGAAUCUUCCGCAAUGGACGAAAGUCUGACGGAGCAACGCCGCGUGAGUGAUGAAGGUUUUCGGAUCGUAAAGCUCUGUUGUUAGGGAAGAACAAGUACCGUUCGAAUAGGGCGGUACCUUGACGGUGCCUAACCAGAAAGCCACGGCUAACUACGUGCCAGCAGCCGCGGUAAUACGUAGGUGGCAAGCGUUGUCCGGAAUUAUUGGGCGUAAAGGGCUCGCAGGCGGUUUCUUAAGUCUGAUGUGAAAGCCCCCGGCUCAACCGGGGAGGGUCAUUGGAAACUGGGGAACUUGAGUGCAGAAGAGGAGAGUGGAAUUCCACGUGUAGC